UUUUAAACUGCUGGUUUACUUCUGAAGUGUUCUUCAGUCCAUGUCAUGUAUUAGCUGCUUUCUAUCUGCCUGUACGGUGAGGACAAGCUUACGAGUGGCCUCCGACCCAAAUGCACGUGCAUGGCUCCCAGUCUUGGUAGCUGCAUUGCUCCCGGGACUUCGCCGUCAAAGCAGGGAACAGGACAACCUAUCACCUCUGCUGGUGCCGGGCUGGGGACCCCAGUACAGAAGAAGUCUCCUAAGUUUUUUGGCCACUGCUAGAUUUAAUUUUGAACUGGAUGGACCACUGCCCAAGGCAACUGCAACCAAAUGGUAGCAAUCAGCAGCAAAGAGAGCCAGAGAGAAAUGCAAAAGCUACACAAGUAAUGUAGCCGGGUUUCAUUUCAGUUGAACUCUGGCAUGCUUUUUCUUAUUGGCUCUGAAAUGUCUUGGCAUGUAGAUCAAGAUAUCCAAGUGUUGCGGGUUAACCCCAGUAGGCAGCUAAGCACUACACAGCCACUUGCUCACUUCUACCCAUGGCCCCCCAGCCCCAGAGGGAGAGGGGAAGAGGAAAAGAAGAGGAAAAGCAAGAAAACUUGGGGUCACGAUACACAUUGAUUAACAAGCAAAGAAGUGAAGAAAAAAAGAAGGAAAACAAAAGAAUUGAUACAAAGCAGUCACUCACCACUUCCCAUGGGUAGACCAAUGCCCAGCCAGUUCCCAAGCAGAAGAUGUCAUGACAUUAUUUGGCCUUGAAUGUCUCUUUGGUUAGUUCAGGUGAUCUGCCUGCUCGUGUCCCCUCCCAACCUCCUCUGUGCGCCCCAAGUCUGUUCAUUGAAGGGCAGAGGGAGAAGCAGGGAAGGCCCUGCAGCAACAGCUAAAGCUUGGGUGUGUUAUCAGCAUUGUUUUGGUCGCAAAUCUAAAACAGGACCAUACGAGCCUUUAUGAAGAAAAUUAACUCCAUCCCAGCCAGACCCACUGCACCAGGCAAUUUGAGCAGAAAUUUACUUUGUCUCUUUGGAAAUACUUUAUGCCUGCAGUUCAGGAAGUUCAACAGAAACCUGCGUCUUCAAACUGAGGCUCCAACGUCAAGCUAAUCUGUUCCCACAGAUACCAGUUCCACCGGAGCAGGUCUGCCUUCAGAUAGGUCUGCCUUCAGAUAUUUUGCUCUUUUCAACCUUGAAGGCACUGAGGGAAGGUAAUCUGCUGACUGGUGUGGAAGGACGAUGCUGUGGCAGAGUCAUCUUGUCUUUGUAGCCAAAAUAGUUGGCAUAAAAGGUUUGAAACGAGUAACAGUGAAGGUACUGGAUCAGAGAUGAGGAGCUUGACUACAAAUU
rnacentral:lncRNA from 1 species